CCUAUGUAAAAUUUAAAAUCAACCCAUGUGGUGUAAACCCAGUUGCAACAAAAUGAGCAAAUGACCCAACUUUAAUUUAUUGGCCCAAACAAAACAUAAAUUUUAUUUUCCAUUUAAACCCAAAACCAAACACAAACCAAAUAUAAUUCUAAUCCAACAUUAAUCUCCAACAACAGGUCCAAACAAGUUAAAAAUCAAAUUCAAACUGGACAACGACGACGAUUCCUCUCUCAGACUCAGACUCUCUCGGUCUCUCCAUCUCCAACCUAUUUUUUCAAAUUUUCAAUCCAAAAUUUCUAUAAAAUUAAGGAACCCAUUACCCUAAUCAAAGAUUUCAAAGCCCAAUACCUUCUAGUAGGUGCCGCAAAGAACCGCCAAUCCGCUAUGUAGAGGUCGCUCAGCGCCUCAAGCCCUCAGCCCAAUACCUUCUAGUCCGCUGGCGCCACUGCUAUUCCCCGUCUCUCUUUGUGUGUCUGUGAGCCUCUCUCUCUCUCUCUGAAUGGUUAUUAUGGCUUGUAUUAUGUAGAGUUUAUAGACCAUAGUUGUAUAGGAUUAGAAAAUCUCAAAUCUGAAAACAGAAACGGGAGGGCCGAGGCUGGAAGCGUUGGAACUUGGAAAAUAAAAAAAGAAGAAUAGCCUUUUAUAUAGAUUGUUGACACAGGGAAGAUUCUUAAAGCGAUAAAGUCAGAAGUUAAUUAAUUAAAGAAUAAGAAUUGUUUGUCAGUUUGUCUGUUUGUGGUAUGUGGUUUAAACUUUAAAGCACAAAUAGAUUAUAGAUAUUAUCUCAUCUCAUGUCUAUCUUUUUAAGUCAUUAUUUUUAUAUUGUUUAAAGUCUUUUGAAUGAGUUUCACAAAAUACAAAAAAGAAACAAUUGCAAUAACUGUAUAGUAAAUAAAAAAU
rnacentral:lncRNA from 1 species